CAUCCAGAAGACACUGCAGUGAGCAGGGCUAGGUAGAAAUGUCUCACUGAAAACUUCUUCAUUCCAACACUUGUAGGGACUCAUUUAAACGUUGCUGGUUCUGCAAAUGCACUCAUGACUGAACUCAUGUCCUAGAAACUUUAUGAAAAUGGCCACAGCCUCCUGGUUCUACAGCCUUCGGACUCUGCACCACCUUGAAGACACACCUUGCAUGAGCCCUAGCUCAGGCAAGCACAGCAGGAGCCCAGGGCCACAUGCACUGCCAAGCUCCCACCUUCAGCCCGGGCUCACUGGCUCCCAGCCCUGCUCUCUGCACCAGGAGCUCUGAUCUGCUGGCGCAGGGGUUCAACACCAGGGUUUGCCCAGCCACGGCCAACGGUGAGCUGGGAGGGAGCUGUCAGCAAUAAAGAGUACGUGGGCUUGAUCUGCAGUCAGUCUCAAAGGUUUCUGAAUCAACUGGACAUUCUCCCUUUGCAACCCAGGGAUUCCAAUAUCUCUUAUGGGCAUGGGAUAUAAAUGCAUCAUCACGCAGUUCUCCUUCCAGCUUGAUAAUAUAAUUACCUUCUCUGGACAAUUCCCAGUACACAGAGAGAGUUUGGAAGAGCUGUUAGCACUUGGUGAACCUGCUCUGGCUGGGAUUUCAAGGUAAUGACUCCCUGACACCUCCUCUGUGUCCCCAGGAGAAAAAUGUAUUUACCACUGCAUCUGACUCAGCCCAGAAAUAACAGCAGCCUUUUAUUCUCUGCCAGUAAUGCCCUGGGCAAAGCUCUUAACCUCCUUGUUGAUGCAUACAAAUCUAAAAAGACUCCAUAAGAAGCAAUGUAAGUUUUCCAUAAAAAUACAAGGCCUGCACAUAGAAAAAUAGAAAGAGAGAAGGAGAAGAAAAGGAGAUUGACAAGAAGGCAAGCUGGUCCAAACCCAGCAGCAGGAACCUCAGCUCCACUUGUCACAAAACUUAAGGACAGGUAUAGUUCUCCUCACUCCCCGUGUGAGAAAGUGAAGCUAUCUGUCUUUCAUACAUGCUCUCACACUUUUUUUCCCUAGCACUCCUAUAUUUACUCAAUCAUUCUGGCUGCAACAGUCUUAAAAUUAUGAUUGGACAAUCUUCUGGAUUUUGAGGGACCCCUUUGUCAGAAGCAUUCCUGGUCAUGUAGUCCCUACUUAUUGAAAUUCAGAGUUGAGCAAUUUGAGGAUGUUAAGUAAAUUAAUAAAAGAUUGAAUAAAGAUAUGAUUUUCUGUUAAUGU